CGUGAAGGAUGAAGGCCCUAUGGGUCGUAAACUUCUUUUGUACGGGAAAAAACCCCUCGACGUGUUCGAGGGUUGAUGGUACCGUAAGAAUAAGGAUCGGCUAACUCCGUGC
rnacentral:rRNA from 1 species